CCUGGCUAAUACCCGCUCUGAUCUGGAGCAAGAGUUUCACCUGCACCAGCAAAAUGGACCAGAACCAACAAGACGCUCAAACUGGUUCCAUCCGAGAAGUUACGAGAAACCUUAUGGAUUUACUGAAUGCUCAUCUACAAGCAGAGGGCCCGCAACAAACACCAACUGUGCCACAGCGCACAACACCAGCGACAACACCUUAACAGACUAUCCCUCGGUCUACAGUUCAUCAAGAAAUGUCAAGGAUUUCCAAGAGCCAGACAUCGACUG